rnacentral:rRNA from 1 species
CCUACGGGAGGCAGCAGUGGGGGAUAUUGCACAAUGGGGGGAACCCUGAUGCAGCGACGCCGCGUGGGUGAAGAAGCGCCUCGGCGCGUAAAGCCCUGUCAGCAGGGAAGAAAAUGACGGUACCUGAAGAAGAAGCCCCGGCUAACUACGUGCCAGCAGCCGCGGGAAUAAGUAGGGGGCAAGCGUUAUCCGGAUUUACUGGGUGUAAAGGGGGCGCAGACGGCGAUGCAAGCCAGGAGUGAAAGCCCGGGGGCCAACCCCGGGACUGCUCUUGGAACUGCGUGGCUGGAGUGCAGGAGGGGCAGGCGGAAUUCCUGGUGUAGCGGUGAAAUGCGUAGAUAUCAGGAGGAACACCGGUGGCGAAGGCGGCCUGCUGGACUGCAACUGACGUUGAGGCCCGAAAGCGUGGGGAGCAAACAGGAUUAGAUACCCUUGUAGUC